ACUCACACACACACCACUGUGGAUACACACUUCUAACUGUCUGCAGGCUUUGUUAACGAGUGUAUAAUCUGUACUGUUGGAUGUAACGGUUGGAGAUUUGGAAUAUGUACCAGAAGAGGUUGUGCAAAUGAAUGUCCCACCUACCUGCGAACGGUGGCUUUUAUUGGCUAUGGAAAUCCUUUUUUUUCUAUUUAGGAGGUGCUUUUAUCCAAAGGGACUCGUUAGUGAUUAUAUAUUUUUUUCAUUAAUGAGGAGGUUGGAGUGAAGGGCAUAUUGCUCAGAGUCGGGGUUGGGGUUUGAACCCAGAACCUCUCAACUAAGAUGCAAACACCCUCACCAUGGGUCUAUCUUGCCUCCCAUAUUAUCAUAUAUUCUCCCUCCAUGAUACAUUAGCACUUCAUCGGUGGCAGCUCAAGUGUUCGUUGUGUUUUGCCCGUGCAGACCCAGGACAACAUCACGUUGAAAUGGGAUCUGGGGCUCUAAAAAACGGAUUGCUUAUUUCUCCGUUCCCAAGACGGACUCGGGUGGUAAUUCUUUGAUUUUUAAUCCUCAUCAUCACCAUUGUCCCAAUCAUGGUUUGUCUAUCAGUGGUCCUUGACAUUUAACAUCACAUCCGCCAUGCAUGACGAGAAGCACAAUUUAAAUAUAGCUUGAAUAAAUAUGUAACGGUUUUGCUUUUCUCCAGACAUACGCUUCAUGCAGGGCGAUCUGACUGAGGUACCAAGGGGACUCGACCACUAACUGGAAGGGGAAGGGACAUGUGAUUACAGUCCCUGACAGUAUCCUUCCACAGACUUAUGUAUCUACUGACAAGUGGACGGAAUGGGAGAAAGACCCUUGAUACGACCUGGAUGUUAGGGCAUGGCCGUGUAUUGCUGAAAGACUUCGUCUUUAGAUUCAUAUCUAAAGUCUGGUGCCGGAUCAGCUUAAAUCGGGGAGAUGGGGCCUUUCACCUUCACCAUACUUUCACUUGGUGUUUUUUCUUCUCUCCCAAGCUUUUGGCCGUCUCCCUAGAGAAGUUCUGCUAUUAUAGAAGAACUGCUGCAUCCGACAUGAGUGAAACCGUAACCCUACACACGUGGUCAUAACUGCGCCCCUCCCCCUUAAGGCCAAUGUGCCGCGCCUCGGAGACACGGAGGCGGAGCGGCCAGAGCACGGGAUCGCUGCGGCUCCGGGACAGGAAUCAACGCAUCAGGACCGCGCGGCAGCUCUGUCCCGCCAUGUAUCACAAGUUACUGCAUCUCCAGCCGGUGGACUUUGGAGCACUGGUAGACGUGGGCGCCGGUCUGUGUGUCGGCACACGCCCGGCCUCCGUCCUGGAGCCGCACCGUGUCUGGUGCACAUUGGCCUUCAGCCACUCCCUUGCCCCGACACCUCACCAGAUUGUGGUCGGUUUGGGAGUGGGCGUGGAGAGAUAACUAGCCCCACCCUGUCUACCCUCCUUGGCCGCUGCCACACUCAUGCAUUAGUGGAUACCUGAUAAAUGUUUGAUUGAUUUAUAUAUAUAUAAUUUUACGUUUAAAAGAAAUAUGCAAACAAUAUUGGGGGAAUGAGUCAGGGGGCCAAUGUGUGUAUAUAUGUGGUAUAUGUUCUGAAGGAGACCUGUGGCCCUUGUUCUGCGGGUUCUCCUUGACCUUCUGUAGGAGACUCUGGGGAUGAGAUGGCCAUGGAGGAUCAGCGGGUGCUCCGGUGGAGGUGCCUCACGACCCUAACCCUGACUCCCAGCCGGACUCUCUGUGGUGGGCCGCCUCCUUGACAGGAACUGACGCACAGCUCCCUGGAGACCCCUACGGUGGACGAGACCCCUGUGGUGGACGAGACCUCGGUGUCGGGCUACGUCUACCACCAGCUGCUGGGCCACGAGGGGGGGGGAGGACGUAGUCAUCAGGUGUCCGCUCCCCACGCGCUUCACCGCCCCGGGCAUGCCCGGCCUCCACCAAUCCCGGGUGGGAGGGCACCAUCCAUCCCUCCUUACAACCAGCAGGCAGUGCUGGGACGUGCUGAGACGGCUCCCCUGCACUUAUAUUCGUGGAUGAUAAUGAGUAAAACGGGCAUGAGCUUGGUUAGUUUAUAAUUACAGAGCAAAACACACCUCGCAUUCUUCUGCUAAACUUACGGAAACAAAACACACCUCACACAAUACCAACCUCAGUUACUAUGCGUGUGAUUUCGGUGUGUGCGUGCGCGGGGUGUAAAAAAGGGUAAUCCCGUGGACUCCUACCUUUUGUAUUUCACCUGGUUCUUUUCCACCAGGGUUUAAAACCAUAUUUUCCACCUGCUGUCAUUAAGGUGUAUGAGGCGUAGACCGUCCUACAGCGCCCCCUGAGUCUGAUCCAGGUACUACAGGCACCGUGCUCAACCACCUGGCCAGGCGGGGCAGCGGGUAACUCGCUGUGUCUGAGCUUGGCCCGGUGUGAUGAUGUUUGCUGUGAGCUGUGUGGCCCAAUAGGACAGGGCUUAGAGGGUGUUUGUCUGGAACAGGGGUUCCCAAACUCCUUUAACCCGAGACCCAAAAGAGAAAUUUGCUGUCUCCCCGGAACCCAAACGUACAAGAUGCAGCAUGAAUUGCCGUAACAUCUACUUUAAAAAUGUUGAUAAAGAAUACAACAAUUAAAUCAAUUAAAAUGUA